CUUUAUCACUAAGUAGUGGGUAGGAAAUGCAAAAUGCCAAAAAAUAGUUGUACCUGCCGAACCAAUGGUUGAAGAACCACCCAAAAUUGAUCAUGCUACUGAAGCUUUUUACUUGGAUCAUCUUUGGUCCCUAUGUGCUCGUGCUGAAACCCCAACUAGUUUAAUUGAGGGCAAAUCAUUAGAUGAGCAUGCUCAUUAUGCGCGACACAGCUUAUCUCAAAGAAGCAAACUUUUAUGGCAUCAUAUUAAUACUUGGCAUUUCUAUGCUUGGAAUUUAUGUGAAAUAUAUGAUUUUACUUGUUAUUCUGAAGACCCUGAGAAACACCUUCCCUACCAAUGUGAGUU
rnacentral:lncRNA from 1 species